ACGAAAAUUCCAACAACUUUUCGAAAAAACUUACCGACUACUUUUACCAACCAAAUAUUUUUACGACUACCUAAGGUAGUUGGAAUUUACCGACUACAUUCAUCUUGGUCGUUAAAAUAAAAUUUUACCGACUACUUCGUAGUUGGUAAAAAAUAAAAAUAAAAAAACAACAAAAACGGAAUUUUUUUCCGACCAAAAUAGUGGUCGUUAUUUUAUAAAUAAAAAAUUUUCGUCCAUAACCCCACCACAAACUGAGAGCCCUAGAAGCCCAUUACCGACUACUCUUGUUAUUAACCAAACCCUAAAACCCACCCUUACAUUUGCUCACAUUCACUAUCUCUCUUUCUCACAGCCGCUCAAACUCAUUCUCUCACCUACCUCCUCUCUUUCUCUCACUUGUCUCCUCCCGCUUUCUUUAGAUCCUCCAUCUUUCUCUCACAUUACCUCCAUCUUCGUCUCUCUCAUUUCCGUUUAUUCAUUUUAAGUUAAGAAAUAACAAAAUGAAAACAAUAUACAUAAAAACUUCAAGAACAAAUUCGAAUAACAAUUUUGGGUGCUUGUGUUGAUUUGUCCUCUUCAUCUCAUGCCGUUUUCCCAUGGAGAACAAAAGGGUCGUGGUGAAUGGGGCGAGAAAUCAGAUCGAACAAUUUGGUUUUGGUUUUUGUGAAUUUCGUGAAAUCAAAUCGAACCAUCAGAUCGAACAAAUCAGAUCGAACAAAUCAGAUUUCAGAGUUGGAAUUUAUGAAUUUGGUUUUUGUGAUUUCGUGUGGUAUUUGUUUUAGAUUAGAUCAAGUAUUGUAAUUUUUUGUAUUAUUAGAUCUAAGUUGUUGGUACAAGUAUUGUAAUCCUUAUACUCCUUGAUAACUCUUGAUGAUAUAAAAGUUUUGGUUUUAUGUU